rnacentral:rRNA from 1 species
GCAGAUCCUCUUCGGAGGUGACGCCUGUGGAACGAGCGGCGGACGGGUGAGUAACACGUGGGCAACCUGCCUGUAAGACUGGGAUAACCCCGGGAAACCGGGGCUAAUACCGGAUAAUACUUUUCGUUGCAUAACGAGAAGUUGAAAGGCGGCUUUUAGCUGUCACUUACAGAUGGGCCCGCGGCGCAUUAGCUAGUUGGUAAGGUAACGGCUUACCAAGGCGACGAUGCGUAGCCGACCUGAGAGGGUGAUCGGCCACACUGGGACUGAGACACGGCCCAGACUCCUACGGGAGGCAGCAGUAGGGAAUCUUCCGCAAUGGACGAAAGUCUGACGGAGCAACGCCGCGUGAGUGAUGAAGGUUUUCGGAUCGUAAAACUCUGUUGUCAGGGAAGAACAAGUGCCGUUCGAAUAGGGCGGCACCUUGACGGUACCUGACCAGAAAGCCCCGGCUAACUACGUGCCAGCAGCCGCGGUAAUACGUAGGGGGCAAGCGUUGUCCGGAAUUAUUGGGCGUAAAGCGCGCGCAGGCGGUCCUUUAAGUCUGAUGUGAAAGCCCACGGCUUAACCGUGGAGGGCCAUUGGAAACUGGAGGACUUGAGUACAGAAGAGGAGAGUGGAAUUCCACGUGUAGCGGUGAAAUGCGUAGAGAUGUGGAGGAACACCAGUGGCGAAGGCGACUCUCUGGUCUGUAACUGAC